UACGUAGGGCGCAAGCGUUGUCCGGAAUUAUUGGGCGUAAAGAGCUCGUAGGCGGUUUGUCGCGUCUGCUGUGAAAACCUAAGGCUCAACCUUGGGCUUGCAGUGGGUACGGGCAGACUAGAGUGCGGUAGGGGUGACUGGAAUUCCUGGUGUAGCGGUGGAAUGCGCAGAUAUCAGGAGGAACACCGAUGGCGAAGGCAGGUCACUGGGCCGCAACUGACGCUGAGGAGCGAAAGCAUGGGGAG
rnacentral:rRNA from 1 species